rnacentral:rRNA from 1 species
UACGUAGGGGGCGAGCGUUGUCCGGAAUCAUUGGGCGUAAAGAGCGUGUAGGCGGUCCGGUAAGUCGGUUGUGAAAGCCCAGGGCUCAACCCUGGGAUGCCGACCGAUACUGUCGGACUAGAGUUCGGAAGAGGCGAGUGGAAUUCCCGGUGUAGCGGUGAAAUGCGCAGAUAUCGGGAGGAACACCUAUGGCGAAGGCAGCUCGCUGGGACGUUACUGACGCUGAGACGCGAAAGCGUGGGGAGCGAACAGG